GAUGAACGCUGGCGGCGUGCCUAAUACAUGCAAGUCGAGCGAACGGACGAGAAGCUUGCUUCUCUGAUGUUAGCGGCGGACGGGUGAGUAACACGUGGAUAACCUACCUAUAAGACUGGGAUAACUUCGGGAAACCGUAGCUAAUACCGGAUAAUAUUUUGAACCGCAUGGUUCAAAAGUGAAAGACGGUCUUGCUGUCACUUAUAGAUGGAUCCGCGCUGCAUUAGCUAGUUGGUAAGGUAACGGCUUACCAAGGCAACGAUGCAUAGCCGACCUGAGAGGGUGAUCUGCCACACUGGAACUGAGACACGGUCCAGACUCCUACGGGAGGCAGCAGUAGGGACUCUUCCGCAAUGGGCGAAAGCAUGACGGAGCAACGCCGCGUGAGUGAUGAAGGUCUUCGGACCGUAAAACUCUGUUAUUAGGGAAGAACAUAUGUGUAAGUAACUGUGCACAUCUUGACGGUACCUAAUCAGAAAGCCACGGCUAACUACGUG
rnacentral:rRNA from 1 species